GGUUGGGUGGCCGAGUGGUUUAAGGCAGCAGUCUUGAAAACUGAAGUGCCGCAAGGCACCGUGGGUUCGAAUCCUACCCCAACCGCCA
rnacentral:tRNA from 1 species